UACGAAGGGGGCUAGCGUUGCUCGGAUUUACUGGGCGUAAAGGGCGCGUAGGCGGUUUGUACAGUCAGACGUGAAAUUCCUGGGCUCAACCUGGGGGCUGCGUUUGAUACGUGCGAGCUUGAGUUCGGAAGAGGGUCGUGGAAUUCCCAGUGUAGAGGUGAAAUUCGUAGAUAUUGGGAAGAACACCGGUGGCGAAGGCGGCGACCUGGUCCGAUACUGACGCUGAGGCGCGAAAGCGUGGGGAGCAAACAGG
rnacentral:rRNA from 1 species